AUGGUGACCGCGGAGGAAGACUUGCGUUGGGCCCAAUGGCCCUGGGCCAGUGUCCAUCAGCCAGGUGCCAGCCCCUGGUGCGCUGAAGCUCAGGCCCUUCCCGGCGCCCUGGCCUCCUGCACUGAGCUGUGUGAGCUCUUCCGCCCAGGCAGCGCCCUGGCAUUGACUGGCAUAGGUGAGUGGAUCCUGCUGGGGUCAUGGGCCAUGAGCCAGGCUGGUGGGGUCACCAAGUGUCAGCCUUUGGGACAGGAGGGUUUCCUUAGGGAGCCGACCUGACCUGAAUCCCCACUGAGGAGGGCUAGGUUCUCCAGGAGGGCGGCUUCCUUGGGAAUCUGACCCAAGGAGGUUAUCUUCUCUAAAGCCUUGCAGCGGUGAUGGUGGUCCAGGCAGCAAAGGAUUCCUUCAACCCCACCCAGGGCAGUGCCCAGCUGAGACUCAGUGGGCAGGUCUGGCCUUGAGGACUGCCCAGGCCACAUGAGGGGGUCCAUAGGAGCUCCAGGGCACCACAGGGGUCACACAGGAGCUCUCCUUCCCCAGAGACGGGUGAGCGAUCGAGUCCAUGGGGUCAGGCCUUUGGAGAUUCAAGGAGUGGGCCCCACCUAGGACCCUGAAUGGGACCGAGCCUUUGAGCAAUGGGCCAUCCCAGUGGUGCCUGUGAGCCUAGUGGGGGGCGAUGCGGCUUCAAGGGGGUUGGGUCAAGGCUGAGCUCUGGCCGGUACUUGGUAGUGCUGCAGGCUGGCCCUGGGACUUGCUGGCUUUGGGCAAAAGGGCCAGCCUGCAUCCUGCUGGUGGUCACCCAUUCCCCAUGGGCAACUAGCGGAAAGCUGGCAUCCUUAGGUGGGAAGGCCCGCUGUCAAGGGUCCUGUCCUGGAAGUUUGCUUCCCAGGCUGCUUCUGAUCCAUGGACUCACCUCCAGGGUGGUGGGGUCUUGAGCCCGAGGAAAGGAGAAGAUACCAUGUGUUCCCCGAUUGGCCGAAUGUGGCUCGGCUCUGUGUUUGGGAGGUGUGUAGGGCAUGGAUGGGGACCCAUCAGAGAACACAUGUGGCCCGGGGUCACAGGUUGCGAUUUCCCAUGCACACUUGGAGAGAACGCUGGGUGGGUGCCCUCCACUCCCAGGCACAGGCUAUGCAACUACCAGGUCUGCGGUGGCAUGUGGCUUCCAGGUCAGCCCCCUUGGUGGGCCAUGAGCAGGUUGGUUGCCCUCGCCUGUGCCCAGUGGUCUCGGAGUGGCCCAGGGGUCCUGUGGGGGAGCUGAUGUGGGUAAUGGAGGUGCUUGUGGGGCCUGCAAUAGAGCGCAGCCCAGGUGUCUUGUGGGAGCUCGGUGACCCACCUGCCCUGACCUAGGGUGCGGUGAUGGGGAGGGCCAAGGGUCCCCUGUGUCUGUAAUGGGUCAGUGUUCCCAUCACAUGGGUCCAUGGAGGGACAGCAUGCAUGAGCACCACCCACCACCAUCCCCCUAUGGAGGCGUGAGGCCAUGUUUGGACACAUGUCUUCCUGUCCCCCAGACGGUGAGCCUGGAGGAAGACUUGCCUUGGGUCCGCUGUCCCUGGGCCAGUGUCCAUCAGCCAGGUGCCCAGUCCCCAGUGCGCUGAAGCUCGGCCCUCCCUGGCACUCUGGUCUCCUGCACUGAGCUGUGUGAGCUCUUCCGCCCAGGAGGACCCCUGGCCUUGAGUGGCAUAGAUGGUGACCCUGAAGGAGGACUUGCAUUGGGCCCAAUGGCCCAGGGCCAGUGUCUGUCAGCCAGGUGCCCAGCCCCUGGCGCACUGAAGUUUUGGCCCUUCCUGGCUCUCUGGUCUCUUGCACUGAGCUGUGUGAGCUCUUCCAGGAGGGCCCCCUGGCAUUGACUGGCAUAGGUGAGUGGAUCCAACUGGCAUCAUGGGCCAUGGGCCAGGCUGCGUGGGGUCGCCAAGGGUCAGCCUUCGGGAAAGAAGGGUUUCCUUGGGGAGCCAACCUGAAUCCCCACUGGGAAGAGAUGGGUUCUCCAGGAGGGUGGCUUCCUGGGGAACAGGAACCAAGGGGGAUGCCUUCCCUGAAGCCCUGCAGGGGUGACGGUGGUCCAGGCAGGAAAGGGUUCCUUCAGUUCCACCCACAGCAGCUCCCAGCUGAGUCUCGGGGCUUGCAUCUGGACUGUCCUGACUAUAUGUGGGGGCCACAGGGGCUCUGGGGUGCCUUGGGGGUCACACAGGAGCUCUCUGUCCCUGGAGAAAGGUAAAGGUGGGUGAUCAGGCCCAUGGAGUUGAGCUGUGGAGAUUCAAGUAUCGCACCUGACACAUGGCCCUGAAUGGAACCCACCCUGUUGAGCAAUGGGCCAACCCAUGGGCCUCUUCGAGCCUGACAGGGGGCGGUGCUGUUUCACUGGGGUUAGAUCGAGGCUAAGCUCUGGCUGGCGCCUGGUGGUGCUGCAGUCCGGCCCUUGGACUCAUGGGCUUUGGGCCAAGGGGGCAGCCUGUGUCCCACUGAAAGUCACCGCUUCCCUGUGGCUGGAAGUUAUCCCUUCCCAGUGGGCUAGUGUCAGGAAGGGUGGCCUCCUGAAGUGGGAAGGCCCGCUAUUGAGGGUCUGGUCCUGGAAAUUUGCUGCCCAUGCUGCUUCUGAAUCCUGAAGACACCUCCAGUGUGGUGAGGUCCUAAGCCCGAGGAAAGGAGAAGACACUGUGCCCUCCGAUUAGUUGAGUGCAGCCAGGCUGUGUGUUUGUGAGGUGUGAGGGCAUGGAUGGAGACUCACCAGAGAAAGCACAUGGCCCUGGGACCCCAGGUUGUGAUUUCCAGUACAUGCUUGGAUACAGCACGUGGGUGGGUGCCCACCAUACACAGGGACUGGCUAUGUGACUGCCAGCUCUGCAGCAGCAUCAGGUAUCCGGGCCAGUCUCCUUGGUUGACCAUGAACUGUUGGUGGCCCUGGCCUGUGCCCGGUAGUCCUGGGAUGACCCUGGUAUCAUGCAGGGGAGCUGGCAUGUGUAGUGGAGGCGCCUGUGUGGCCUGCAGUAGGAUGCAGCCCUGGCUUGUAGCCUGAGCCCAGUGACCUACCUGUCCUGUCGUUUCAGGGUUCAGUGGUGGAGACAGCGUUGGGUGCCCUGCGUCUGUGACGGGCCAGUAUUCCACAUGGAUCUCAUCACAUGGUCCAUGGAAGGCGAGCAUCCCUGAGCUGGCACACCCCACCUUCUGCCCACAUGGAGGGGUGAGGUUGUGUUUGGACACCUGUCCUCUUCCUGUUCCUCGAGAUGGUGACCCCAGAUGAGGACUCGUGUUGGGCCCACUGUCCCCGGGCCAGGGUCCAUCAGCCAGGUGCCUAGCCCCUGUUGCACUGAAGCUCUGGCCCUUCCUGUCACCUUGGUCUCCUGCAUUGAGCUUGGGUGAGCCCAUCGGGGUGCCACUGGAUGCCUAAGCAGGGAGGGGGUGCCCUGGGUUGGGUCGAUGAUGAGAACUUUAUAUUGUUCUGAAGAGAGGUGAUGACUUAAAAAUCAUGCUCAAUAGGAUUACGCUGAGGCCCAGCCUAGGUGAGAAUUUUGGAAGAGGACACUAGAAUCCUGAGGUCCCUGGCAGGGCCACUGUAUUUUAGGCUGGAGACUUCGAGGCCCUAAAGGGCAUCUCAUGCAGGAGCCCAGCCCUGUCUGUGCUCCUCCAUUAGGCACACCAGGCUUCCUGUGUGGGCUUGGUGUCUGUGCUCAGCUUCCCUGGGGGCGGGACAGGUUGGUGGCUCCUUCCUGAGCCCCAUUAUCCUCGGUGUCUUUCAGUGAGCUCUUCCGCCAAGCAGACCCCCUAGGAUUGACCAGCAUAGGUGAGUGGACAUUGCUGGUGUCAUGGGCCGUGAGCCAAGCGGUGGGCAGUCCCUGAGGGUCAGCCCUCAGGCCACCUGGGUUUCCUCAGGAGUCGACCUGAAUCGACUGGGGAUGUGUCCUCCAGCAGGGAGGCUUCCUUGGGAAUUGGACACAAGGCAGAGGCCUUCUCUGAAGCCCUGCAGGGGUGGCAGUGGUUCAGGCAGGAAAGGGUUUUCUCAGCCCCAUGCAGGGUAGUGCCCAGCUCAGACUUGGUGCUUGGGUCAGGCCUCUAAGAUGGCCAGGACACAUGAGGGGGGCAACAAGGGCUCUGGGGCACCACGGGCAUCUCAUGGGGACUCUCCAACCCUGGAGAGGGGUGGGCGAUUCAGUCCGUGGAGUCGGGCCAUGGAGAUUCAUAGACUGCAGCAAACCCAUGACCCUCAAUGGGACCGACCCUAUAAGCAGUGGACCCUCCCAGUGGCAUGUCUUUGAGCCAUGUGAGAGGCGGCGCUGUUUCUCUGAGGUUGGGUCAAGACUAGCUGUGGCCAGUGCCUGAUGGUGGUCCAGUCUGUCUCUGGGACUUGUGGGCUUUGGGCCAAGGCUGUAGCCCGUAUCCCACUGGGGGUCACCCCUUCCUUGUGGGCGAGUGGCGGUAAUGGUGGCCUCCUGAGGUGGGAAGGUCCACAGUGGAAGGACCUUUCCUGGAAAUUUGCAGUCCAGGCUGCUUCUCAGCCAUCAGGACAACUCAAGAGGUCAGGGUCUUAGGCCCAAAGAAAGGAGAAGACACCGUAUGUCUCCCGGUUGACUGAGUGUGGCCCCGCUCUGUGUGUGGGAGGUAUUGUGUGGGGCGUGGAUUGGGACCCACCAGAGAAAGCUUGUGGCCCUGGAGCCCCAGGCUGUGAUUUCCAGUGGACCUUGAGGAAAGGAGGGUGGGUGCCCUCCAUGCACAGGGCAGGCUGUGCAACUGCCAGGUAGGCAGCAGCCCGUGGUGUCCGGGCCAGCGUCCUUGGUUCGCCGUGAGCUGGUUGGUGUCCAUGGCCCCUGCCCAGGUCCAGGUGCUACCCGGGGUUGUGCAGGGGAACUGGCGUGGGCAAUGGAGGUGCUCGAGGGGCCUGCAGUAGGGCGCAGCCCAGGUGUCUUGCCUGAACCCAGGAAUCCACCUGCCCUGUCUUUCCAUGGUUCAGUGGCUGGGAGGGCAAAGGGUCCCCCCCAUCCAUGACACAUCAGUGUUUUCCAUGGAUCCUAUCACAUGGGUCCACAGAGAGAGAGCAUGUGUGAGCUAGCACCCCCCACCCCCUUCCCCGUGUGGAGGCCCGAGCCCCUGGUUGGACACAUGUCCUCCUCCUGUCCCCCCAGAUGGUGACUGCAAAGGAAGACUUGCUUUGGGACCACUGGCCCCAGGCCAGUGUCCAUCAGCCAGGUGUCCAGCCCUUGGUGCACUUAAGCUCAAGCCCUUCCUGAUGCCCUGGUCUCCUGCCCUGAGCUGUGUGAGCUCUUCUGCCCAGGGGGACCCCUGGCCUUAAGUGGGAUAGGUAAGUGGAUCCUGCUGGGGUCAUGGACCAUGAGCCAGGUCGCUUUGGGUCACUGAGGGUCACCCUUCAGGCCACGAGGGAUUCCUCAGGGAGCCCAUCUGAAACCCACCAGGGAUGGAUGGUUUCUUCAGGAGGACAGCUUCCUUAGUAAUUGGUCCCAAGAAGGAUGCCUUCCCUGAAGCCGUGCAGAGAUGACAGAGGUCCAAACAGGAGAGGGUUCCUUCAACUCAACGCAGUGCGUGUUCUAGCUGAGACUCAGUGCACAAGUCAGGCCUGGAGGGCUUUCCAGGCCACAUGAGGGGGUCCACAGGGUCACUGGGGGCAAUGGGUGUUUUGCGGGAGCCCUCGGUCCCCGAGGCUUGCAAAGGGGCAGGGUGUGGGUGAUCGGGCUUAUGGAGUCAGUCCGUGAAGAUUCAAGGACUGGGCCUAACCCAUGGCCCUGAUGGGACUGACCUGUGGAGCAAUGGGCCAUCCCAGUGGUGCCUCCUUGAGCCUGGUGGGGGCGGUGUGGCCCCAGUGGGUUUGGGUCAAGACUGAGCUCUGGCCUUCACCUGGUGGUGCUGCAGGCUGGCCCUGGGAAUCGUGGGCUUUGGGCCAAGGGUGCAGCCUGCGUCCAGCUAUAGGUCACCCCUCCCCGAAGUGGAGUGGCCAGAAGGAUGGCAACCUGUGAUGGAAAGCAUGCUGUCAAGGGUCCUGUGCCGGCAAUUUGCUGCCCAGGCUGCUUCUAAGUCAUGGGGUCACCUCCAGGGUGGCGGGGUCUUGAGCCGAAGGAAAGGCAAGGACAUCAUGUGUCCCUGAUUGAUUGAGCAUGGCCCAGCUCUGCGUUUGGAGGUAUGUGGUGCAUGAAUGGGGACCCAUCAGAGAAGGCACGUGGCCCUGGGGCUCCAGGAUAUGAUUUCUGGUGUGAGCUUGUAGAGGGUGUCUGCUGUGGCACGUAGCAUUCAGGUCAGCCUACUUGGUUUGCUGUGAGCUGGUUGGUGGUCCCGGCCCUGCCCAGUGGUCCCGUUGUGGCACAGAGUCAUGUGGGGGAGCUGGUGUGGGCAGUGGAAGUGCUCCAGGAGCCUGCAAUAGGGUGCAUCCUGGACAUCUUGCUCAAAUCCUGUGACCCGCCUGCCCUGUCCUUUCAGGUUUCCGUGGCAAGGAGGGCCAAGGGUUCCCCGCGUUCUUGACCGUCACUGUUUAUAGGGAUCCCAUCUCUUGAGUCCAUGGAGGGAGAGCGUGUGUUAGCCAGCACCCCCUGUCCACUUUUGUGCAUGGAGGUGUGAGGCCAUAUAUCUACACCUGUCCUCCACCCCUCCAGAUGGUGACCCCAGAGGAAGACAUGCGUUGGGUCUGCUGGCCCCGGGCCAGUGUCUCUCAGCCAGGUGCUCAGCCCCUGGUGAGCUGAAGCUCAGGCCCUUCCUGGCGCCCUGGUCUCCUGCACUGAGCUGUGUGAGCUCGUCUGGCUAGGUGGGGCCCCGAGGCAUUGACUGGCAUAGGUGAGUGGUCCUGCUGGGGUCAUGGGUCAUCAGCAGCGAGGGGUCACCGAGGGUCCACCUUUGAGACAGGAGGGUUUCCAUGGGCAGCCGACCUGAAUCCGCACCAUGGAGGGGUGGGUUGGUCCUCCAAGAGGGCUGCUUUUCUGGGAAUCAGACCCAAGGAGGAUGCCUUCCCUGCAGCCCUGUGGGGAUGAUGGUGGUCCAGGCAGGAAAGGGUUCCUUCAGUCUCACAUAGGGGAGCUCCCAGCUGAGUCUCAGUGCACUGGUCUGGCCUUGACGACUGACCAGGCCACAUGAGGGGGGCCACAGGGGCUUCAGGAUGCCAUGGGGUCACACAGGAUCUCUCCAUCCCCGGAGAAAGGUGGAUUCGAGCUGCAGAGAUUCAAGAAUCACACACAAGUUAUUGCCCUGAAUAGGACCGACCCUGUUGUGCAAUGUGCCAUCCUAGGGCACCUCUUUGAGCCUGAAGGGGGCGGUGCUGUUUCCCUAGGUUUGGGUCAAGGCUGAGCUCUGGCCGGUGCCUGGUGGUGCUAUUGUCCAGUCAUGGGCUCGUUAGUUUUAGGCCAAGGGGUCAGCUCUGUGUCUAAAGGAUCCCCUGUACUGGGGAUCUCCCCUUUCCUGUGGCUAGAAGUCACCCCUUCCCCACUGGCAAGAGUCUCCCCAUUGGCAAGUGUCGGAAAGGGUGGCCUCCUGAGGUGGAAGGCGUGCUGUCAAGGGUCUUGUCCCUAGAAUAUGCUGCCCAUGCUGCUUCUGAGCCACGGGGUCACCUCCAGGGUAGCGGGUCUUGGGCCCAAGAAAAGGAGAAGUCACCAUGUGUCCCCGAUUAGCUGAGUGUGGUCCUGCUCUGUGUUUAGGAGGUGCGUGGGGCAUGGAUGGGGACCCACCAGAGAAAGCAUGUGGCCCUGGGACCCCAGGUUGCGAUUUCCAUUUCAUGCUGGGAUAGGGCACCUGGGUGGGUGCCCACAGUGCACAGGGAUAGGCUAUGUGACUUGCAGGUCUGCAGCAGCAUCUGGCACCCGGACCAGCCUCCUUGGUUGGCUGUGAGCUGAAUGGUAGCCCUGGCCUGUGCCCAGUACAUCUGGUAUGACCCUGGGGUCCUGUAGGGGAGCCAGCAUGGGCAGUGGAGGUGCUCAUGGGACCUGCAGUAGGACACAGUCGGGGCUUCUUGCCCGAGCCCAGUGACCUGCCUAUCCUGUCUUUCCAGGGUUCGGUGGCUGAGAGAGCAUUGGGUGCCCUGAGUCCAUGAUGGGCCAGUGUUCCACGUGCAUCCCAUCACAUGGGUCCAUGGAGGAUGUUGAGCCCGGAGGAAGACUUUGCACUGGGCCCAAUGGCCCCAGGUCAGCGUCCGUCAGCCAGGUGCCCAGCCUCUGGUGCACUGAAGAUCAGGCCCUUCCUGGCACCUUGGUCUCCUGCACUGAGCUGUGUGAGCUCUUCCACAUGGGAGGGCCCCCUGGCAUUCACUGGCAUAGGUGAGUGGCUUGUAUCAUGGGCCUUGAGCCAGGCCGCGUGGGGUCAUCAAGGGUCAGCCUUUGGGAAAGAAGGGUUCCUCAGGGAGCCAACCUGAAUCCCCACUGGGAAGAGAUGGGUUCUCCAGGAGGGUGGCUUCCUGGGGAACAGGAACCAAGGGGGAUGCCUUCCCUGAAGCUCUGCAGUGGUGACGGUGGUCCAGGCAGGAAAGGGUUCCUUCAGUUCCACCCACGGCAGCUCCCAGCUGAGUCUCGGUGCUUGCGUCUGGACUCGAGGACUGUCCUGGCCGUAUGAGGGGGGCCACAGGAGCUCUGGGGUGCCAUAGGGAUCCCACAGGUGCUCUCUGUCCCUGGAGAAAGGUGGGUGAUCGGGCCCAUGGAGUUGAGCUGUUGAGAUUCAAGGAUUGCACCUGACACAUGGCCCUGAAUGGGACCCCCCCGUUAAGCAAUGGGCCAUCCCAUGGGCCUCUUCAAGCCGGAAGGGCGUCGGUGCUGUUUCACUGGGUUUACGUCAAGGCUGAGCUCUGGCUGGCGCCUGGUGGUGCUGCAGUCCAGCCCUUGGACUCAUGGGCUUUGGGCCAAGGGUGCAGCCCACAUCCCGCUGGAAGUCACCCCUUCCCUGUGGCUCGAAGUUAUCCCUUCCCAGUGGGCUAAUGUCGGGAAGGGUGGCCUCCUGGAGUGGGAAGGCCCGCUGUUGAGGGUCUGGUCCUGGAAAUUUGCUGCCCAUGCUGCUUCUGAGCCAUGGAGUCACCAGUGUGGUGGGGUCCUGGGCCCGAGGAAAGGAGAAGACACUGUUCUCCCUGAUUAGUCCGGUGUGGCCAGGCUGUGUGUUUGUGAGGUGUGAGGGCAUGGAUGGAGACUCACCAGAGAAAGCACAUGGCCCUGGGACCCCAGGUUGUGAUUUCCAGUACAUGCUUGGAUACAGCACGUGGGUGGGUGCCCACCAUGCACAGGGACUGGCUAUGUGACUGCCAGCUCUGCAACAGCAUCAGGCAUCCGGGCCAGCCUAUUUGGUUGACCAUGAACUGGUUGGUGGCCCUGGCCUGUGCCCGGUAGUCCUGGAGUGACCCUGGUGUCAUGCAGGGGAGCUGGCAUGUGUAGUGGAGGUGUUUGUGUGGCCUGCAGUAGGAUGCAGCCCUGGCUUGUAGCCUGAGCCCAGUGACCUACCUGUCCUGUCGUUUCAGGGUUCAGUGGUGGAGAGAACAUCAGGUGCCCUGCGUCUGUGACGGGCCAGUAUUCCACAUGGAUCUCAUCACAUGGUCCAUGGAAAGCGAGCAUCCCUGAGCUGGCACACCCCACCUUCUGCCCACAUGGAGGGGUGAGGUUGUGUUUGGACACCUGUCCUCUUCCUGUUCCUCGAGAUGGUGACCCCGGAUGAGGACUCGUGUUGGGCCCACUGUCCCCGGGCCAGGGUCCAUCAGCCAGUGAACUCUUUCACCCAGGAGGACCCCUGGCCUCGAGCGGCAUAGAUGGUGAGCACAGAG